GUGUCAGCAGCCGCGGUAAUACGGAGGGUGCGAGCGUUAAUCGGAAUGACUGGGCGUAAAGGGCAUGUAGGCGGAUGAUUAAGUUAGGUGUGAAAGCCUCGGGCUCAACCUGAGAAUAGCAUUUAAAACUGGUGAUCUGGAGUACUGUAGAGGGAGGUAGAAUUCCACGUGUAGCGGUGAAAUGCGUAGAGAUGUGGAGGAAUACCGGUGGCGAAGGCGGCCUUCUGGACAGAUACUGACGCUGAGAUGCGAAAGCGUGGGGAGCAAACAGGAUUAGAUACCCUGGUAGUCCACGCUGUAAACGAUGUCGAUUUGGAGUUUGUUGCCUAGAGUGAUGGGCUCCGAAGCUAACGCGAUAAAUCGACCGCCUGGGGAGUACGGCCGCAAGGUUAAAACUCAAAUAAAUUGACGG
rnacentral:rRNA from 1 species